AUUGAACGCUGGCGGCAGGCCUAACACAUGCAAGUCGAACGAGUGGCGGACGGGUGUGUAAUGUCUGGGACACUGCCUGAUGGGGGGGGAUAACUACUGGAAACGAUCUAUUAUACCGCAUACCAUCAGAUGCCCCCAGAUGGGAUUAGCUUGUUGGUGGGGUAACGGCUCACCAAGGCGACGACCCCUAGCUGGUCUGAGAGGAUGACCAGCCACACUGGAACUGAGACACGGGCCAGACUCCUACGGGAGGCAGCAGUGGGGAAUAUUGCACAAUGGGCGCAAGCCUGAUGCAGCCAUGCCGCGUGUAUGAAGAAGGCCUUCGGGUUGUAAAGUACUUUCAGCGGGGAGGCGUUACCGGCAGAAGAAGCACCGGCUAACUCCGUGCCAGCCGCCGCGGUAAUUC
rnacentral:rRNA from 1 species